CAGUAGCCGCGGUAAUACGUAGGUGGCAAGCGUUGUCCGGAAUUAUUGGGCGUAAAGGGCCCGCAGGCGGUUUCUUAAGUCUGAUGUGAAAGCCCCCGGCUCAACCGGGGAGGGUCAUUGGAAACUGGGAAACUUGAGUGCAGAAGAGGAGAGUGGAAUUCCACGUGUAGCGGUGAAAUGCGUAGAGAUGUGGAGGAACACCAGUGGCGAAGGCGACUCUCUGGUCUGUAACUGACGCUGAGGAGCGAAAGCGUGGGGAGCGAACAGGAUUAGAUACCCGCGUAGUCCCAGUCUCUUAUAU
rnacentral:rRNA from 1 species